rnacentral:rRNA from 1 species
AGUGAACGCUGGCGGUAUGCCUAACACAUGCAAGUCGAACGGCAGCACAGUAAGAUCUUUCUCUUACGGUUGGCGAGUGGCGGACGGGUGAGGAAUACAUCGGAAUCUACUUUUUCGUGGGUGAUAACGUAGGGCAACUUACGCUAAUACCGCAUACGACCUACGGGUGAAAGCAGUGGAUCUUCGGACCUUGCGCGAUUGUAUUAGCCGAUGUCGGAUUAGCUAGUUGGCGUGGUAAAGGCCCACCAAGGCGACGAUCCGUAGCUGGUCUGAGAGGAUGAUCAGCCACACUGGAACUGAGACACGGUCCAGACUCCUACGGGAGGCAGCAGUGGGGAAUAUUGGACAAUGGGCGAAAGCCUGAUCCAGCCAUACCGCGUGAGUGAAGAAGGUCUUCGGGUUGUAAAGCCCUUUUGUUGGGAAAGAAAAGCAGCAGGUUAAUACCCCGAUGUUCUGACGGUACCCAAAGAAUAAGCACCGGCUAACUUCGUG